rnacentral:misc_RNA from 1 species
GAUGAAGAACGUAGCGAAAUGCGAUAAGUAAUGUGAAUUGCAGAAUUCAGUGAAUCAUCGAGUCUUUGAACGCACAUUGCGCCCCCUGGUAUUCCGGGGGGCAUGCCUGUCCGAGCGUCAUUGCUGCCCUCAAGCACGGCUUGUGUGUUGGGCCCCCGUCCCCGGUUUCCCCCGGGGACGGGCCCGAAAGGCAGCGGCGGCACCGCGUCCGGUCCUCGAGCGUAUGGGGCUUUGUCACCCGCUCUGUAGGCCCGGCCGGCGCCAGCCGACACCCAACUUUAUUUCUAAGGUUGACCUCGGAUCAGGUAGGGAUACCCGCUGAACUUGAGCAUAUCAAUAAGCGGAGGA